GGUAGCAGCAAAUAUUUAAGUUCGAUUCUUGAAGACUGAAGUGGAGAAGGGUUUCACGCGAACAGCAGUUGAAUGUGGGUCAGUCGAUCUAAGAUACUGGAUUAUGCCUUGUAUCAUUGAGGGGAAAAGUUUCUUUUCUCUCAGAUAUCAAAAGGCAAUAGAGUUAAUAUUCUCUAACGCAGACACAGAGAUUGCGGCUCUUUCAGUCGCUUGCGCGGUGACGCACUCGAACUUGGUUACUUCGCUCACAGACCGAGCUAGAGUCCUCUUUUCUACUCCAAUGAAAAAAUCAAAAAGUAGGUUACGAAUUUCAAUCACAACGUGAAGCCGUUAAUCAAAACGCUGAAAACUACAAUUUUGCGUUCACUGUCGCAUAUUUUCGCCCGAAGUAUAAGGAGCUCAAUUU
rnacentral:ncRNA from 1 species